rnacentral:rRNA from 1 species
KCAGGAGACUCGAGCGCGAUGCCGCGUGAGUGAAGAAGGCCUUUGGGUUGUAAAGCUCUUUCGUCGGGGAAGAAAAUGACUGUACCCGAAUAAGAAGGUCCGGCUAACUUCGUGCCAGCAGCCGCGGUAAUACGAAGGGACCUAGCGUAGUUCGGAAUUACUGGGCUUAAAGAGUUCGUAGGUGGUUAAAAAAGUUGGUGGUGAAAUCCCAGAGCUUAACUCUGGAACUGCCAUCAAAACUUUUUAGCUAGAGUAUGAUAGAGGAAAGUAGAAUUUCUAGUGUAGAGGUGAAAUUCGUAGGUAUUAGAAAGAAUACCAAUUGCGAAGGCAGCUUUCUGGACCAUUACUGACACUGAGGAACGAAAGCAUGGGUAGCGAAGAGGAUUAGAUACCCUCGUAGUCCAUGCCGUAAACGAUGUGUGUUAGACGUUGGAAAUUUAUUUUCAGUGUCGCAGCGAAAGCAAUAAACACACCGCCUGGGGAGUACGACCGCAAUGUUAAAACUCAAAUGAAUUGACGGGGACCCGCACAAGUAGUGGAGCAUGUGGUUUAAUUCGAAGAUACGCGCAGAACCUUACCAACACUUGACAUGUUCGUCGCGACUCUAAGAGAUUAGAGUUUUCGGUUCGGCCGGACGAAACACAGGUGCUGCAUGGCUGUCGUCAGCUCGUGUCNUGAGAUGUUGGGNUAANUCCCGCAACGAGCGCAACCCUUACUUUUAGUUGCCAUCAUUUAGUUGGGAACUCUGAAANAACUGCCCGUGAUAANCUGGAAGAAGGGG